CAAAGCCUAUUUCUCACCAAUUAUCAAAUCACCAAUUAUCAAAUUUAAGCACCAUAAAUGUGCUCUCAGGAGCACAGAGCCCUCCGUGCUCCUGAGCCGUUUUCAAUGAUGGGACUCCCGAAUCGAUGAUCGGCUCCGGUAGACUUUAUCUAGCAUAUAUAUUUGAAAUAUGUAGAAAAUAAAUUUUGCGAUUUUUCGAUAUCGUUUACUUAGUGAUAGAAAAGAUUCAAAAUCAACAAUUUUUAAUGGUUGAUAUCUGCCGUUUUAAGUUUAACAGCGUAGAAGUAUCCAAAUCAGAUGAAAUUCUGAUAGAAAGUUCUUUAUACUAUCUACAGCAAAUUCAAUAUCUUUGAUCGAAAAUUUUAGUACUAUAUCACCACUUUUUAUGAGAUUUUUAUUUUUAGCUGUUGAUUUUGAAUCCUUUCUAUCACUAAGUAAACGAUAUCGAAAAAUUACAAAAUUUAUUUUCUACAUACUUCAAACAUACUAGAUCAAGUAUAGCGGAGCCAAUCGUCGAUUCG
rnacentral:lncRNA from 1 species